AUUGAACGCUGGCGGCAGGCCUAACACAUGCAAGUCGAGCGAGUGGCGGACGGGUGAGUAAUGUAUGGGGACUGCCCGAUAGAGGGGGAUAACUACUGGAAACGGUGGCUAAUACCGCAUACUAUCGGAUAACCCAUAUGGGAUUAGCUAGUAGGUGGGGUAAAGGCUAACCUAGGCGACGAUCUCUAGCUGGGCUGCGAGGAUGAGCAGCCACAAUGGGACUGAGACACGGCCCAGACUCCCAGGGAGGCAGCAGUGGGGAAUAUUGCGCAAUGGGCGCAAGCCUGAUGCAGCCAUGCCGCGUGUAUGAAGAAGGCCUUAGGGUUGUAAAGUACUUUCAGUGGGGAGGCGUUACCCGCAGAAGAAGCACCGGCUAACUCCGUGCCAGCAGCCGCGGUAAUUC
rnacentral:rRNA from 1 species